AUUGUAUCUGCCUCUCCCACACUAAAAUAUCAACCAUAAAAACUUUUGCUUAAUGAAUGCCUUGUUUUACUUGUCUUAUUUACUCUGAGGUUCUCGCGGCAAGACCCAAAUGGACAGUGAUUUGGCUGCCAGCUGGUGUUAGAAACAAGCCAACUCCAAGAAAGUUAUGGAUUACCUCUAAGUGAGAAAAAGGAAGCAUAAGAACAACAAAGAAAAGAACAAAAGACUCAAGUUCUCCAGCCCCCAAAAUUAUUCCAUCUUUAUGAAGGCAACACUGAUCUCCACGAGCACAAUCAUCCAAACGGAGAUGGGAACCCCCGUUCUAACUCUCUCAGAGGCCUGAAGUUAGUUUUCUAGCACUCUCUCUCACACAAGGGAAAUGCGCUUACAGCCAGUUCAAAAUCUGCAGUAACCUGUGUCUGUUUAUUAGGGACUUCUUGGGCGCGGGUAAGACAAUAUUCUUUCCCUACAGCUUGAAAGAAGGGAAAUCAACGGAUAACUACUACCGGAACAGAGUUCAGACUGCAACUCAUGAGAUCUCUCAGUCCUUUCCUUCAGUGAAUUCUUCCGAGCCCUUUUCAGGUGCAGCUUUGAAGAUUAAAACGAGACACUAGGACCAGUGGGUCCCUAAGAGGCGGCAGCACAGACACAGGUGUGCUUCCCUGUUCCGUGGUUUUACGGACGAAAUUCUGAAACAUCCUUAGAGACCAAGGGUCUACCCAUGGGGUUCACCAGGCCUUCUUUCCCGAGGAUCGGCCCUUGACUCAAAGAACUGGGGCGGGGGAGAAGUCGCUUUCUAGAAGCCGCCCGACCACACCGCCACCGUAUUCUCUCUCCUCUUUCCCUCCGCGGCUCCCCGCACGUUCCCGGGGAGAAGAGCUUCCAGUCUCUUCCGUGGACACCCAAAGACGCCGAGCCUCGGCUCCCAACCGGGAGCGGCCUCCGUGGCCGGGCCGCAGGCACUCACCGUCGUUCUCGUCGCUGUGCCGCCGCCGCGACAUGCUGCCCUCCGGUGCGCCGCGGAACCGAGAGGCCAGGCGGUAAGCGCUGCAGGAACUGUCUGGCCGCUGGCCGACGCAAGGACAGCUGCAAGGCGCGCGGAUGGACCGGCACGCAGGCGCACUAGCUCGCCACUGCCCCGGAAGCGCAGAAGAGGCCGCCGGGUGGGCUAGGCGCUGCGAG
rnacentral:lncRNA from 1 species